GGCACCUUCCCGGAGCCGGCACGCGCAGGAGGUGGGGCGGUCCUGAGGCGGGCGCGCGCCGCGCGGCCCCGCAGGCUGAGCGUUCGUGACCCGCGUGCUGGCCCCGGCGUCCCGGCCCCGGAGUCUGCGAGGCGGAGGCGGGUGGCGGCACAUGCCGCGGCCGCCGCGGUGCGACCCUGGGCUUGGGGGGAUUUUUUUGGCCUGGAGGGCUCCUCUUCUCCGGCGGCGGUGAGCCGGGCAUCCCGCGGGGACUGGUAGCUGCCCGAGGGGCCGCCGCCGUCGCCAGUCCGGUAGCCCGGAUGUCGCUGCCCCCUGCGGCGGGGCCGCCAACGCGCUGCUUGGCCCCGGGAGGAGGAUCAUCUUAAAGGGACAGCGCCGCGUUCGGGCGGAGGGGGCGGCGCGUCCUGCCCUCAGUUCGCGACCCUGCCCCCGGGGUACGCCGCGGCGCCUGCUGCCCAGACCCCUUCCCCGGGCCGGGCGCCGUGGGAGCGCCGCGCGCUCUGACUGGAUUAGCCGCAGAUGGCCGACUAGAGCCAGGUUUUCCUCCGGCCGGAGCAGUGGCCGGUGGCGCCGCACGGGGCCGGGAGGCGCCGGCCUGUGAUUGGCCGAGGCCGCGGUGAAUGCAGGACAUUGUCUGGUCGCGGCCGUCUCCGUCCCUGCCCGACCGCCCUUCCUGGGAUCAAAAUGGGUGCGGAGCGAGGGUCCUGGACAGCCCCGCCUGGGGGCCUUUCAGUGGUGGGAACACCGUAGGGGAAAAUGUAACUGUUUUGAGAUUCUGAGACUGGCAUAAAGGUGCUGAUUUAAAAUACAAGCUCAGCUUUAACAAGGAGAUAAAAUACUUGGAUUUGACAUAAAGCUUUCCUUUAAGAUGAAAAAUAUUAAGGUAGUUGAAAAGGGUCAAGUGUUAUGAAAAUGACUUGGCUUUGUCUUCAGGAUUCUUUUAAUUAGGACCUGUGAUAAGUCAUCUGAAUGUCCUUUGUAAAAUGUUAAGGAAAAGUAUAAUAUAUAUGGUCAUAGUUUCCAUGUGUGUAAAGACGCGAGACUGCUUAGCUUUCCCAGUUUGCUUCCAUUGUUAAAAUACUGAUUCUGACUAGAGUUGAAAUCUUGAUGUGUCCUAUGGAUUGAAUCGUAUCUCAAGGCCUUGGAGUAGAUGAGACCUUUGAAAGAGCCCUUGAGAAGAUGAUAAUUCUCCCAAGAUUAUCUUUGAAAAUACGUGGGUGUUAUUUAAGUGAGGUUGUAAUCUCGUAGAGUGUAAUUGUGGAGUAAAUGAAAAUUAGGCUGGGCGCAAUGCUGUAGUCCCAACUACUUGGGAGGUUCACUUGAGCCCUGGAGUUUGAGUCCAGCCUGGGCAACAUAGUUAAACCCCUGUCUCUUUAAAAAAAAAAAAAAAAGAAAAAGAAAAUUAAAACAAUAGAGGAAUAUGUGAAGACACCCGUGAAAUAAGAGAUACACAUGAUAAAUGAAGAUUUUGAAUAAAAUAAACUUGGUAUUUGCUUUAAAAAAACUGGGUAGAAAAAAUAUUGUAAAGUUAAAAGCAGACGUGUAGAGAUAGAGAUUUUUUUAGCAUCAGUUUCAUAUCUUUUCAAAACUAAAAAACCUGAUUUUAUUUGAGUAAUCAACAACAAUUAAGGACUUGGAAAUGACAAACAAAUGAAGGAAAGACUUCAGAAAGAAGAUAAAUUUAAUGACAUGAUUCAUUGCAAGAGACAUGACCUCAUUUCUUAUUAGAAUGAUUUCCACUAAACCAGAUUUGAUGUUAAUUAAAUUUACAGACUUUCCUCAAAUUUAUACUAAUGCAAUAUGUCUUUUUUUUUUUUGAUAGCGCCUUGCCAUAUUACCCAGGCUAAGUGUGGAACUCCUGGGCUCAAGUGAUCCUCCCGCCUUGGCCUCCCAACGUGUUGGGAUUACCGGCAUGAGCAACCACACCCAGCCUUCUGUGCUCUUUUGAACAGACCCUUGGCAUGGAUAGUGGGUGCAUGGGUAAGUCUUUCCACUUCCUGUCUCUCUGUUACCUUUCCCCCUCUUUUUCUUCCUUCAGACCUAUUGCUCCAUAGAACUCUAUACCUACUGGCUGUGUUUACGGCAUCUAAUGUGUUAGUCCCCGAAGAUGUGUUAGCAUACUCAGUCACUCAAUUGUUGGCUGAAUGCCUACAAAUCACCCAAACCUUCAGAAGAUGGAGAAGGGAGGAGGAACCAAGAGGGCAAGACAGGAAUGUUGGAGGUUCAUUAGCGUGGCUGAGAUGAAGGACUGUGUUUUUAAAAUUUUCUUUUGCCUCUCUUCUUCAGUCUAUACCUUUGGCUGAGAGCUGGCACAUCGCUAAUGGCAAUCAAGGCUAACGGGUCACUACCCCUUACAGUUCCUGUGGUCUCUCUCUUUAGGCACUGGUUCUGUAGUUUGUGGCCAUUAGAGCGCUCAUCUGUAGCUCUGCCGAAGACAGGAGAAAAAAGAGUGUAGUCAGUCUCAGAUCAAUCCCAGUUGUUGCUUGUUUACAGUGCCUAUAUAAGGAGGGUUAAGAAGUUAGAAAUAAAAUUAUUCUGAAGGGGAUGAUUUGUGACUUAUUAAUCCAUGUGAUUUUCGAUGCUCAUUAUCACUGAAAAUUGAGUUGGCUAAGUCUGUUUAACUUUUGUGAUUAAGGAUCAGUGUGAGGAUUUGAUGUUUGGGCUGAGAGGCAGAAAAAGAUUGUAUGCACACAUCCUCCCACUUAGCACUUAGUUCUCUUUAUCUUUGGCCAACAACUGGUUCUCUAGCUCCUGUACAGUGAAGUGACAUCUAGGGAACAGCAUGGAGGAAGGGACAGCAGCUGGCAAGCCCGACCUAUCGAGUCACUCUGCCAUCGGGGUAACAGGCAUGGCUGUGCCCAGUGUCUUAACAUCCGAGGUGCCCCAGGGGCAGUGGAGACACCUCUUCAGGCCCUACUAAAGAGAACCACCUGGCCUCUUAUUAGCUAAUGGAUGUGUCUUUUUUUUUUCAGAGUUCCAUAAUUAAGCGUUUACCAUGUGAUAUUUCUCUAACCCAGAUAUUAAAACAUAGUACAAAUAUUUAAAAAUAUUUUAAAUCUGAUAACAAGCACAUAGUUUUCCGGAUCUUUUUUCUAGUGUUUCUUAGGGCUCAACAGGUGGCCACUCUUCCUUGCCUCUAGUGCAUGGCCCGACUCUGGCUGUGCCAUCUUCUCCUCUCAGGCUAGGGGAGGGCCUGGCUUCCCACUGCUGCUGGGCCCUGGGAGCCUCACCGUUGUUGAUUCCCUUAACUCUGCCCACACUUCUUAAAAGUCUUUACAAAAACCCCUAAGGAAUAUGCCUUUGAUGACCACCUCAGAUGGUGCCUGAUUCAGACACCCAUCAUGAUCCAGCCCCUCCUUUACCUACAGUCUACACUGCUGUCUUUGUUUUCUACAUCCUUGCUUCUGACGCAUCAGACUGCUGCCCUAACCCACCCACCACUCUCAACCUUGCAUAUGCUGUUCUUUCUGCCAAGAAUACGAAGACUUCCUAGAGCCCCUUCCACGUGGGCUGCCUCUAUUAUUGCAGUUACCACAUUGCAUUUUUUAAUUAUUUUUACAUGUCUUUAAUUUUUAUUUUUUAAGAGAUGGUGUCUUGCUUUGUCACUGAUGCAGGAGUGCAGUGGCACAAUCAUAGCUCACGGCAACCUCAAACUCUUGGGCUCAAGUGAUCCUCUCACUUAAGCCUCCCCAGUAGCUGGGACUGCAAAUGCCUGGCUACCAUAUUGAAUUUUAACUACUGCCUUGCGUUUCCAAAACUGGAAGUUCCUUGAGGUCAAAGAGGGUGUCUUACUCAUCUGUACCUUUUUGGUGCUUAGCACAAAGCCUCACUUAUGGUAGCACAUGGGAAAGUAAUAGCUGAAUAAUAACUGAAAAUAAGUUUCUUUCUUCUGUUGAUUCUUUUCCUAAAUCAGCUUUCUAGGGUUUCAAAAUUGAAUUUUAAAAAAUUUCAAUCUUGUCAGUAUUCAUGUAGAUAAAAUUAUGUACUUUAAUCAAUGUGUACAUGAUAGCAUGCUUUUACAGUACUGUUUACAGCGAUGUGCUCCUGAAAGUUCCAUAAAUUAAUAUUUGAAAUUUAGGUGUUUUUAAAUGUAAUGUAAUUUGAUUUCUUGAUUAGUGGUGAAGCUUUUUUUGUGUAUAGUAAAGAAUCAUUCUGUAAGUUAUAUGAGUUUUUCCUGUAUCAGAUUUGCCUUAAAUAAUCCUAUGUUGAACUCAUUAUAAAUAGGUUUGACUCAGAAGUAUCAUUUUAGUGUUUUUUUGCUUGUGAACAGAAGAAUAAGGACCACAAUGUAAUCAUCGUAUUUUUCUUCACGGGAAUUCCACCAUCUGUGUGUUUUGGGCAGUGGGAGAAGGGGGAGGGCAAACUUCUUCUCGGUCCCUCCUGUGUUUCUCUAGUUCUAGCAGGGACGUUUCUGUAAUUGGUUUUCAACAUUUGCUGAGAGUCUGUUUCCUCUUAACAUUCAACAUGUUUAACAGAAGUCUUGUAAUAGUUCCAAAAAUAAUAAAACCAGUCCCAGGAAUAAAAAUGAUACAUUCACAGCA
rnacentral:lncRNA from 1 species